rnacentral:rRNA from 1 species
CAGCCGCCGCGGUAAUACAGAGGGUGCGAGCGUUAAUCGGAUUUACUGGGCGUAAAGCGUGCGUAGGCGGCUUUUUAAGUCGGAUGUGAAAUCCCUGAGCUUAACUUAGGAAUUGCAUUUGAUACUGGGAAGCUAGAGUAUGGGAGAGGAUGGUAGAAUUCCAGGUGUAGCGGUGAAAUGCGUAGAGAUCUGGAGGAAUACCGAUGGCGAAGGCAGCCAUCUGGCCUAAUACUGACGCUGAGGUACGAAAGCAUGGGGAGCAAACAGGAUUAGAUACCCCUGUAGUCCCUGUCUCUUAUAA